rnacentral:lncRNA from 1 species
GGAAUCCUUCCUCUGCUCCCCAAGUUUCCCGCAUCCCUCGAGGAAAUCUGGAUUGACAACAACAGAAGUUUGGUGGCGCUGCCUUCAAACCUCGGAGAUCUGACCAAGCUGAGGAGACUCACCGUGCAGUGUUGCGUUGCACUGAAAGCGUUGCCAGAUGGGAUGGAUGGUCUCACUUCCCUUGAUAUUGGAUACUGUCCAGGGAUAGAGAAAUUUCCGCAGGGUCUCCAGCAGCGGCUCCCAGCCCUCAAAUUCCUAUACAUAUGGGGCUGCCCUGACCUGCAGAGGCGUUGCAGAGAAGGUGGGGAGUACUUUGACUUGAUCGCUUCUAUUCCCCAUAAAUACAUUGAAGCACCCGCACAGGCACAGCCACGAAAGUGGUUCCUUCCCUCGUGCGGUGGUGGUUCUCAAGGCAACUGAGGUAUGUAUGCUGGUGCUUCGCCUCUCCCGUCAACUAAUUCUGCUAUUGAUCUAGCUCACAUCAUUGUUCUGAAUGCAUAUUGACUCCAUUCUUUUCGGUUGUACUGUCAGUAUGUCAUCAGAUUGACUGCACUUGGAGUUCAGUUGGGUUUGGACGCGGUGCUCCAUAAGCAUAAUCGUUUCUCGGCAAAGGACAAUACAAAAAAUUAGAAGCCUGUUCCAUUCUGUGCCACGGAAGCUUCUUCUUGUCUCGCUGAUUGCAAAGAGAUCCUCCCUUCCCGGCCUUCAAAACAUCUGAUGCUGCAUUGUGAGUAUGAUUUUAUCCACAAGUUUCUGUGUGUAUCUAUCAACUCCUAAUUGCAUUAGAAUUUUUAUAAUUUUGCUUUUAAAAAAGUAACAUGCAUGUUAGGAAAAAGAUAAAGGACCUAGAUGAAAACAAAAGGCAUUGUUCCAUUAGAGGACAAGGAGAAAGCAACAAUAUGCUUACUAAACAAUUGAAUCAGUCAAUCAUUUUCCAUUUGGUUGCAUUGAUCCAUCCGUGCGUUCACCAGUAAUCAACUAUAUUUCUGUAACCUGUCUGCAGUUAGUUCCAGCAAGCCUUGGAAUUGCCGGCAAAUUUGGAAUCUUUUGGGUAGUAUUCAUGUGUAACCUUUGUCACAGUCUCCAAACCCCUGAUCCUCUCAAUUGUUGAAGCAAAAGUGUGCCUGUUUCUUGAAGAUGAACCGCGUGAGGAGAAUUGCAGGAAUUGGCAAGGCUAAGGUUCCAUCUGCAGUUCAAAAAGACAGAGAUGAGAGCAUCGUUUUCUUCAGGGAGCUGUACAAAGCGUGAGAAGGAUAAUAAGGAUGUGAACCUCUUGGAACCAAUGUAUUCGGUCGAGUUUGAAGCUAUCCAAGGUGAGCUAUUUGGUUGUGGCAAUUCUAGCUUUUUCCUGGUCAUGUUAUCAGGAAUUUUCAUGAUGAACACAUCCAUUACCGGUGCAAAUCUUGUGCAAUUGUUUCCUCGAAAGUGGAUUCGCUCACUCUGGUGUUUGUAUACCUAUUACUGUGCUAGGUGGCCAUGGCUGCAAAGUUCCCCCAGGAAAGAGAGACUUCCUCAUACCAGUGGACGAGAAGCAUGACUAUGACUGGUACUAUAGGAUUAAACUCGAGUCUGUACCCACAACCGUAUUCUUGCAUAGGAUGGAAUUGCGCUUCUAAAAGGAACAGUUUAUUGUCAGGUUGAUGACACCUCCAGCUGAGUCAACGUUCACUUGGAUUGUGGUUCGAGGCGGGCAAGGUCGGUCGGCACCAUCUCCGUCAACCGCAAGCAAGGCCUACAGCUUCGACACCGUGCACUGGCACGCGCCCAUCCGACCACACCAUCAACGGCCAGCGGCUCCCCCCUUGAGCUCCACCUCGUCCACAAGGAAAGCAUUUGAUAGCAUCCACAAGGAAAGGAUAGCGUCUGAGAGACAAGGCAAAUUUAAUGAUCGGGCUCAAUAAGAAUCGGGAUAUAAGAUUAUAUGAUUUAAAAAAAAUAUAUGGUUGAAAAUAUAUAAGACUGAGUUGGAUUGUGAAAAAAGUAUGAGAACCAUGAUCUAUUAACACCCAUAGAAAUACUACACAAGAAACGAAACAGAGGACUCUUACAAAAUUAAAAGAUGGAUUCAAAACUGAAAACUUGUGAUAAAUUUAUGUACAGAUAGUGCACCUGCAAGACCACAAUCCAACUUGCACCACCAAAUACCAAAAUUUGUCGAUCCAAACCCCAAUUUGUAAUUGCCAGUAUGUACGCAGCUCAACUACAGCUAAAGCACAGCCGCAAUGGCUGCGGCUUCUCUGUCUCCUUUGCAUGUCUCCGUAUGUGUCCCUCCACACGUGGAGACCACCUAUUGGCUUCCCCUCCAGGAGGCAGGUCCACUAAUUUCCAUCGUUAUCGCACGGCACCAGGAAACGGAACCGUCAGCCCAUCUAGUCUGUCGCCGCUCCGUCCUCUGUUCUAUCCUUUCCCCUUCUCUCCUCCAAGCUGGUCCGCCUAGCUGCUGCACAAAUCGAAGAGCUCGAUCUCAGCGGGACUUUACAUCCAAUAGCAAGAAGUUCGAUUGGUGGAACAACAAGGUAAAUCACGGUGGUAGGGAGCUGAUUUGGUCUGCGGAAUCUCGAUUAUUGCUGAUUUCGAUUUGGGUGGGCAGGACCUCGAUUCCGGCUGCAAGAUUUCGAUUUGGGUGGCUACAACCUCGAUUCUUGCUGCAAGAUCUCGAUUAGGAUCGUGAGGAUUUCUAUUUUGCGGUUUCCUCGUCAUUGCGUCCAGUCAAGGUCACCAUGGUGGGACAUCGAGCUGGGAGGGUGUGACAGCAGGUGUUGUGAAUACGAUGGUGAUGGUGUAUCCUUCAAGGUCCUCUUGUCGGAGCAAAGAAUCUUCCCCCUGACAAAUCUAGUUUGGUUAGUUGUCUUGUGCCUUCCCCCUUUUUUCGUGAGGAAUAUGUACUUUACCACUUCAGUGUGAUACUUGCAAUCAGUUGAUUAGUUUGUGAACAGAAAUGAAAUUAUAUUAAUUGUUUUUUACAAAACACAGAAAAUAUAGUUCCUAGGUAAGAUAAAUUGUUUGAUACAAAGGAUUCGAUAGAUAGUGCACAGAACACAUCCAUUCUCCUAAAAGGAUGUGGCCUAAAAGGAUGUGGCUUUCAAUAGUUCAAUUAAAAUGGGAAAACAUAUUAUUGUAGGGAUUUGUAACAAAUGAUUGAGUGGUAUUUUCUUGCUGUGUAUGUUGACCAUGACCAGGGGUCCCAAAGAAAGAACCGAAGGAUGGAUGCGUAAAAGCAUUUCCAACUGGAUAGUAGCCUUGAUAGUAGCCUGGUGUCUGUAUGUGAUGUUGAUCUGUACUAGUCCCUAAGUGGCCCUGUUCAAACCAAGAAAAAGGAUUUGAAUAUCACUACUGAAUAUGUGACUAGUCUUAAUAAUAGUAAUAGUAAAUAAUGUUGAAAUCUUAUACCAAUAUGACUUGUGGUCGCAAAUGUGUCACAAUAUCUGAUUCCAUUGCUGAGCUAGAUGCCUUUGAGUCAUUGUUGGUCUUUUUCCUCUUUCGUGUUGCCUUCUCAAAACCAGAUGCAGAACCAGAUGUCUUUGGGUCAUUCUUAUUCUUUUUUCUCUUUUGUGUUGCCUUCUCAAAUCCACCAAUUGGUCUGUCAGAUCCAUGGAUUGCCUUCUCCUUAACCUUGACACCUUUUGGUUUUAUAGCCUGGUCUGGUUGUAGUGUAGCUGCAAAAGUCAUUUUUUUAAAAAAAUUUACAAAAACAAAUAAAUUGUGUGGCAUAUGUGGGGUUAAGGCAAGUAGUAUUCCAGUGCAAACCUUGCGGCUGAGAUGAACUACCCGUAUCUGUAUCGCCUCUAUUUUUCAAGCUUUUCUCCACAUCCUCUGCUAAUUUCUCUGCACUGUUCACAGCAAUAGAGUAUGUUUCAUCGGAUUCUGCAGCUCGGUUAGCUAACUGAAGGAAUAUUCUACACAACACUUUUCUGCGUUUGGAUAGCUUUAUUUUGGGAUCUUCAUGUAUCUCAGGGUUGCUCUUUAUAUGAACCACUUUUGCAUCAAUUGUCCAUCUGUUGAGUAUGUAUUGUUCAGGAAUUUUUUUUAUAUUGUUAAUAUCAAGUAUCUUCAAUGCAUGGCAGCAUAAGAUUCCAGCAAAUUCGAACUUUUUGCAGCUACACUUCACAUGACCUUCAAGUGCAGAAAACUUUACGACAUGCUCGUUUUUCUUACCAUAAACCUUUAUUUUGUACACCUUUUCAGCAUCAAUAUCACCAGAAUAGAAUAGAUCGCAGUUUAGUGUUUGCAUCACUUGUUCUUGUACUAGCUUGAAUACUGCUGGGGUAUAAAUUUUUGCUGCAUGCCUUAGUAUUGUCAGGUCUGCUUUCAACUUUGGUGUACUUUGUGUUGCUUUGAAAUCAUAUUUUACCUCUUCAUAUCUUUUAUCUCCCACCAACCUGUCAAAGUGCUCAAAAAAAGUAAGUAUAUCAUAUUUGACACUAAUAUAUCCCUUCAAUUCAUUAUUCAUGCUUUCACUUCUUUGAGUGCUAACCAUAUCAGCAGAAAAUGUAUUUCGUCCAUAUGCUAAGGCCCAUUGCUCCCUUUUAUCAAAUAAUCUUUCGAGCCAUUUAUUUUCUUGUAGCUUAUACUUAUCUAGCAAAUUGUUCCACGCGUUUAUAAAAUCCUCCUCAUCCUCUUGAUCAUAAAUACAGUUUUGAAAAUCUGUAUUGAACUUCUUAUAUUCUUCCACAACUCCAGAAAGGUGCUUGCAUGCAUUCUGGUUCAUAUGCCAAAUACAAAUCCUGUGAUGACUCUCUGGUAGCACUAGCUUGAUUGCUUUUGCCAUUGCUGCAUCUUCAUCAGUUAAAAUGGUCUUUGGCUUCUUGCCUGACAUAACAGCUAAAAAGGUUUUGAAAAGCCACACAAAACUUUCAGCAGUUUCGUCAUACAAAAGUGCAGCACCAAAAAUAGUAGUUUUCUUAUGAUUGUUCACUCCAACUAGCAAACCGAAUGGACGCCCAUCAUUUAGCUUUCUGUAUGUUGUGUCAAAGCAAACGACAUCACCAUAAAUUUCAUAGUCUGAAACCAUUUUAGAAUCAGCCCAAAAAAUAUUCGUUAUCAAGUCAUCAUCGUCAACCUGAAAGGAAUGGAAAAACUUCCCAUCUUCUGAUGCUUUCUUCUCCAAAUAUUCCAACACUCCUCCCGUGUCUCCUUGUUUUACCUUCAUUGAUCUCUUUGAAUAUAAUUUAUUUUUCAUAUCUUCACGCGUAAAUCCAAGAUUCUCAUUUCCACCGGCUUCUUUUGCCAUGAGAUCAAAAGUGGCUUUAUUUGAAAUCCCAACCGCUUUAGCAGCUUCGACACUGACAAUCUGUGCUGUAGUUAUUCUCCUUUGAGAUCUUAAGUACUGGGCUUGGAUGGCAGUAGCAAGAAUAUGGUUAUGCUCAGGCUCAAAUUCAUAGAUGUAGUACAACCCAUCCGUGAGACUUAUCUUCAUGCGUGCUUGACACAUGCAUCGUGUCUCAGGCCUACUGUACUUGGAAUUUUCUUCUCUUUUAUCAGGACCCCGAAUACCUAUUGAUAAAUAAAAAAUUUGAUUAAAUUGAUGUUCUAUCCCAAACCAUGAAGAAACUAUUAUAAAAAAGAUUUAAUUUGAUACCUACACGAGAACAACAAAAGGUUCUGUUCUUUAUUGUUGUAGUAUUUUUAACAUUGUGUGAACUACUCCUUCGGAUGCUGAAACCCUUGUAUCUGGCGUAAGCAUUGUAAAAUUUAUAGGCUUCUUCCUCAGUGCAGAAUUUCAUACCAACCUUUGGUAUCCUGUCUUCUAGAGAAUUUUCUACUCGAGUAGCAAAAUCAAAUUUACCAGAAUCCUGUUCGGGUUUGUAGAGAUUACAUACGUACCAAGUUAGAAAUCAUGCAGAAUAUGCAAACAUAUUUACAUAGGUACAGUAUGACUUACAUUUUCUAACUCUAUUCUUUCCGUAUGACCAGAAGGAAUGUUGAUCCGACAGAAAUUUGGCGAGGAUGUGGUACCUGCAACCGGCGGCAUGGCCAUGCUUAGUACUUGUGGAAGUAAUGGCGGUGCCCGAUCCAAGUAGUUGUCUUCGUUGAUAGGUGUAAUGUGAUUUGACUGAGAUGCCAUUGUUGUUGUGUGGGAGAUAAGGAAGAUGCAAAUCUGAUAAUUAUCUUUUUGUGUUUUUAGUGUUGUUAGCUUGGCGGCCGAUAAAAACUGCACCCGCUGUAAUUGGCGCCAUUUUCUUCAGAAUUAGGCGGCUUUUCCCUCCAUUAAUUCUCCCUAACCCUCGUAAUUACGUUAGUGGGGCCAAAGAAACAAGCGCACAUGGGGCCAUUCUCCCUAACCCUCCGUUUCCUGACUCCGUUUUCUGUUAUCGUGGGCUGAGGAAAAAUUAAAGGGCCCAAGAAGUGAACGGAUGGCAUCCACGUGUGCAGAGAUAUGGAUGGAGACAUGCAAAGGAGACAGAGAAGCCCCAGCCAGCCGCAAUCAGAACGAAAGCCACACGUCAACGGAAGAAAAUUCAGUGGGGACGGUGCGCACAAUUCCUCCCGUGCGGACCCACGUUGGAUGGCUGACGCGUGGAUGUCCCAGCGAUCCAACGAUUUCUAUGGACUCGGCUCCCAACACUCGGAUGGACAUGGCUCUACGCAAGGACAAGGCUCGCGCGAUGGUUCCCCUUCCCAGCGGCUCGGCUCCCUGCGCAAAUGAGUGAUACAGCUCCCGUUCUCCUCAAUGGUUGACGGCCGCGCCGCUCCUCCACCGCCAUCACCUCCCGGUGCCGCCGCUCCUCCGCGGCCUCCCGGCUCUCUAGCACCUCCGACAGGAUCGCCGCCGCACCGCCCGAUCGCGCCGCUCAGGACCUCCUCGUCGUCGGAGCACUCGGAGUCGGAGUUCUCAUUGCCGCCGCCAUGAUCGUCGUGAUAGUAUUCACCUGGCACAUGAUCGACAGAAGUAAAGCAUCAUUAAUGGUGCCAGCAGUUGCAUCUGGUUUGAUAUGUGGUGAUGGGCUUUGGAUUUUCCCUGAAUCCUUGCUUGCCUUGGCCAAGAUCAGUCCAUCAUUGUUCAUGGCAUUCAGGCCUACACACUAGAGGAGUACAAACAUGCUCGGCACCUGGCAGCAGUUCCAUGUCCAAUCUGAAGAGAUAUUGACAUGCUAAAUUUCGUCAGUAAGAUAGUCGGGAUGUGAUACAUAGGAGAAGCAGUACAUAUCUGGAUGUUACCUACAUAUAAUGAUGUAAAGUGGUGCUGCAGUGUAAAAAAAAUCAUAUGCAAGGUGAUUCCUCAUACCAGACCAAUGGUAUGCUUGAGAAUCCCAUCUCUCGCCUGUGGUGAGUAAUGGAUGGGGGAGCUACUCCCCGAUUACCGGAAUCCACAGGUUGCAGUACCAAGCAUCUUCCAAGGCCAGUUGAUCCUAUUGUUAAUUGUCAGUUUCCAGCUGCUUUUGGUAAAAAGAAAUGUAGUCACAUAUAUGGCAAUGAAGAUUCAUCGAGUUUUCAGAUGAUGUAUGCCAAUGACUGGUUAGCAAACCAUGUACAUAAAACUGAAUACUUUUGCCAUAGCCUGGAUCAACAAAGUGCAAUGUAGUAAGAAGCACCUUCAUCGGGCAUCCGAUACAAUUGUAAAUUACCAGUUGCCAUCUUUUUUCAGAAACAAAAUGCUAUCAGUUGAUAUGAUAAUACAGAUUCAGUGGUAUGGCCGUGAAUAGUUAGAAAAUAUGCAUACUAUUUAACUCGCAGGGUGUUGAAUAUUAUUCAACGCACCGGCGGAGCGCCACUGCUCCGAUCAGCCGGCUGCAUGUUGCAUGUUUUAUUCCACCCCUCUGUCAAUGUAAUCAAGAACAAGAGACGUGGCAUCACGGGCAUAGCGCGGCGCAUUUCAACCCCGAGUCACCGAAGAGGAAGAGGAGGCGACCGUCGCUGGACGAGCUGCGGCCAGGGACAGGGAGCAGCACGCCGCCAGCGCCCGGAAUGCACGGCCAUUACCGCCAAGAACAAGGGCACCACCACCGCGAGGACGACGACGAUCACGGCGGCGGCGACGAGAGCUCCGACUCCGAGUGCUCCAACGAUGACGAGGUCCUGAGCGGUGCGAUCGGGCGGUGCGCAGCGAUCCUGUCGGAGGUGCUGGAGAGCCGGGAGGCCGCGGAGGAGCGGUGCGGCCGUGCGCAGCAGGCGUGCCGCGAGGCCAGCGAGCAGCAGUGCAUGGUAGGGGCCGCCACCAACCAUUAAGAAGAACGGAGCUGUAUCACUCAUUUGCGCACGGAACCGAGCCGUUGGGAAGGGGAACCAUCGCGUGAGCCUUGUCCUUGCAUAGAGCUACGUCCAUCCGAGUGCUAGGAGUCGAGUCCGUAGAAAUCGUCGGAUGGGACAUCCACGCGUCAGACAUCCAACGUGGGUCCGCAUGGGAGGAACUGUGUCGCACCGUCCCACUGAAUUUUCUUCCCACGUCAACUACCCCGGCACGCGCUACAACGGCCCAGAUCUCGCCACGCGUCCGUCGUCCUCCAUCUCGGCCGCCCACCCCGCCGCCCGCCUCCCCGACGCGAACCGCCGCAUGCCUCCCAGCCCCGGCACCGCCACCGCCGGCACCUCGUCGUCGUCCUCCUCCUCCUCCACCUCCUUCGUCUCCCUCCGCCUCGCCGCCUCAGCCAGAGGCGGCAAAGACGACGGCGGCGGCGGGGACUGGUCGACGCACUCCACGGCGCUGUUCCUGGACCGGCUGCGCCGCAUCAGGAACCCAAACCCGCCGCAGCACCCCGGCGGCCUCGAGCUCCCGCGCGUCCUCGGCGGGCGGCCGAGGCGCGCGCGCUCGCGGUCGGAGAGGACCUUCCCGAUGCAGGAGACCUUGGGGGACCCGGGCUCCGGGACGGCCGCCUUGGGCGCGCGCCCGCCGCCGCCGGUCUUGGCCUUCUUGGGGAAGAUGGCCGGCGGGUAGUGGUGCUGCCGCCGCGCGCCACCGAGCUUCCCCGAGAGCCCGAUGAUGGGCGCGGCCGUCGGCUUGAGGUUGCCGGAGAACCGCUGCGAGGAGCCGUUGUUGUGGUGGGGGUGGUUCUUGAGGAGGCACUUGGGGUUGGUGUUCUCCUUGAGGGAGUCGUCGCGGUCGUAGACGCCGUUGAUCUCGGACCAGGCGAUGUCGUCGCCCAUGCGGAGGCGCGAGGACUCCGGCGGCGAGGCGGCCAUGGGGAGGGAGAGGCGGGUACCACGACGAUGGCGUUGGGGCGAGGGGGAAGAAUUGGAAAUCGCUCCGUUCCGGUGGCGUGUGGCGAGGUUUUUAAGGAGCUGUGCGUUCGUUGACUCGCCGGGAUUGCUGUGAUGGGGGUGGAUGCCACGAGCGUCGCGCCAUUUCCUCUCCCUGCUCCGUGGACCUGGUCUAUAAACAGAGUAGUAAUGCAUGGAUUUCAUUUUCCAGCACUAGGAUUUCAUUAAACAUAUGUAAUUUUUUUAAAGAAAGCAGGAGCACUGCUAAUCCAUUGAAGGUAAAUGUAUGUAAAUUGCACUACUAGGAUAAUGUUGUCACCUGUAUUUUUGAGAAAGAAAGGUGAAUAUGUUUGCACGUUGGUUAAACUGUGUCAAAUGUAUCACUGUUGAACUUUGGAACCAUGAGAAGCAUGAUCCACAUGGACGUUUGAAAAUCGGUGAAAAAGUGUUUUGGCAUUUGGAUAAAUGAUACUGGAACAUCUACGGUUUCACGACGAAAAUUAUAAUUCAGCGGAUAUUUCAUGCUAAAAGUCAAUUUUAGAAAAAUAUAUCAUAUCGUAUUUAAAGUUCAAAUAUGUCUGACUUUUUUUAAAAAAAAAUGUACUCCGUAUCUUACUUCUGACUUCACUUGAACAGUUGAUGUUAAUUGUAUUCUCAAACUAAAGACUAAACUAAAAACCAGCAAGCAGCCAACGGUCCAUGGACUAGGCUUAGGUAGAUAGAGGAAUUUUUUUCCCCUCUCCCUGAAGAGAGGGACAUUGCACCGUAUUCAGACGGGCAGUCGGUGUUUGCGCUGAAUAAUGUAACCUUGAGAUUAACGACAGGUUAGCUUAUCUUAGUAGUUGCAAAAGGAAAUUUGAAAUCGAUGAGCUGCUUGCCUGAGACCUGCAGCCGUUUGGAGGCAUCAGGCGCCGCCUUCUUGUCAUCAGGGCUCAGGCAGCCUUCCCUGAAUUCCCGCGGUUUCAGAUAAUUUCUUUGACCUUGGACUCUGCACCACCAAAAACUGGUGCUGCCAAUCGCUUCCCAGCAAAGGAUUUGCAGUCAUGCACUGAACAGAGCGAAGGUUAACCAGGUUUGCCCGUCCUUUUUCUCAAAUUGAUACGAAAUGCGAAAGUGACACUGAACAAGUGGUGGUGGCUUGUGUUGCCUCUGAAUUUUCACUGACUUGUCUUUACCCAUUUCCCAGCACUGACCUUUUGCCCCCUUGGUGAAGAUUUACUAUGGAAUUCUGGCUUCUUCUUUUGUCAAUGGGAAUGAUUGGGCAUGCAGUAGACUUGGCCUACGAGAAGGAGAAGGCGUACAGGGACUGCAUAAUAAGCUGACAAACACAAGCAGCUGCAUGGCCGACUCAUGGUCGUCACUUGGUCAUCAGUUUUUGACACCCAAAGUUUAGCAAAAAGAACUGGGAUAGUAAACUGAGCAAAGAGAUGCAGUGCAUGCGUUCAGACGGCAGAAGGCUACUGCUGAUUUACUAAUUAUUACCUCUCCAGUUUUAAAUAUAUGAAAUCUAGAAUAAGUUAAUUGAAUCAAUACGGAGGGAGUACUUUGGUGUGGCCGUGUCCCUUGCAGUAUGUAGCAAACUAGGAGACUAGUCUGGCUCUAAUUUACAUAUUUCUUGGGCAUUUUUGCAAUUUACUUACUGUAUGUAGAGGUGUAAUUUAGCUUAGCAAAUUUAAGGAUCGGGUUUAAUAAGGAUCGGACGUAUGUAGGGGUGUAAUUUAGCUUAGCAAAUUUAAGGAUCGGACUAUAAGAUUAUAUGAUUUUGAACUAAAAAUAGAUAGAGCUAAAUUGAAUUGUGAAGAAGGUACGAGGGCCAUGAUCAUUAUCACCCUAACUGUACGGGAUUUACUUACUGUACGUGGAAACUAGGAGAAAUAAUGUACCUCUGAGUAAUGACAGUGUAUUUACUUACUGUACGUGGUUUCCCUGAACAAGUACGGAGUUGUACCCACGACUUGAGCUCGUUGUACCUGUAGAAACAGAGAUGAGAGAUUCAUGUGUACUUCACUAGUCAACUGCACGACACUACUACCAUUCUACCAAUCUACUAGUAGUACAGUGCUCCAGUUUGACUCGAUUUGUCUCUUUCCGCGUCACAUUCAGCAGCUGGAUUUGAAUAUAUAAACUGAAUUCCAUGGGCGAUUCAAACAAAGCAACAAUAUAAAGUAUCAUACUCCGUACUUUAGUAGCUACUUAGUUCGGCAUGGUCGUCAAACUCUUGGUCUUUAGCAGCCGCCGCUGGUGCUGCAAAGAAACGACAAUCCAAGGCCCAAACUUUAGACGCCAGCCAAAGCGACCCAGGAAUCAGAGUAUCAGUUAAAGAAUGACUCGACCAGCACACAUGACAAACCAGAAAUCCGCUGCAACUGCAAGCUUUUUUCCCUUUUCCGUUUGAGUUUUAGCAUGCAGCGCCGAACGUUUAGAUGUUAAGAGGAGGAUGAAAUAUGAGGUAAUUGUAAAACUAAUUGCAGAAGUUCUUGGCCAAUUCGUAAUAAUCCAUCAUUAACAAAUGGUUACUAUAUCACCACAUUGUCAAAUCAUGAACAAAUUAGGUUUAAUAGAUUCGUCUCGCGAAUUAGCCUCCAUCUGUACAAUUAGUUUUGUAAUUAACCUAUGUUUAAUACUCCUAAUUAGUAUCAAACAUCCGAUGUGAUGUGAUCGGGGCUAAAGUUUAACCUGGAGCCAAACAGAGCCUUAUGGCAAUGCCGCAAUGGCAACCUGAUAAGAAAUCGGAAUUACUGUACGAUAGAAACACCGUGCUUUUCUCAUAGACAGGAAAACAAAGCUGUCUUAUUCAGACGAUAUAGCCUGGUUUGGUUCGUUUGCUUAUUUUUAAGCACCCGUCACAUCGAAUGUUUAGAUACUAAUUAGUAGUAUUAAACGUAGACUAUUUACAAAAUCCAUUACAUAAGUGGAGGCUAAACGGCGAGAUGAAUCUAUUAAGCCUAAUUAGUCCAUAAUUUGACAAUGUGUUGCUACAGUAAACGUUUGCUAAUGAUGGAUUAAUUAGGCUUAAUAGGUUCGUCUCGCUGUUUAGCCUCCACUUAUGUAAUAGGUUUUGUAAAUAGCCUACGUUUAAUACUCCUAAUUAGUAUAUAAACAUUAAUGUGACACUUGCUUAAAAAUAAGCAAAGGGAACCAAACGUCCCGUCUUCGUCAGGGUCAAAAAGGAAUGUCUUCAUCAGGGUCUGCACUCUGCACACCUGGCUGGAAGCCUGUUUCUCCAGAGUCUUCUAGAAGCCUCUCGGAUCGAUCAAACGUGUCAUCGGUCUCCUAGGGGCUAGUGCUAGUGGUUCUAGACUUCUAGAACUGGCCAAAUAACGGAGGUUCGCCCUGACGUCACUGUGCGUCGGUUUUACAGUACCACACACAAAGAAUACAGCACGUUACACGUAGGAAUCUUCAUCCAGGAGGAUGUCAACUUGCGAAAGGACGAAGCUUGUGGGAAGCCUCUGCUUGCUGCAGAGCUUCAUGUAUCGUAGUUUUAUUUUCGCUAUUAGUGUUUUCUUUCAGUUCUUAGUAGUUUAAGAGUACCCGAGAACAAUUCCGAUCAUGUAAUCGCUACACAUACGUAUUCCGCUUUUCUAAUCCUCCUUAAAUGAAAGGCAGUGCUCCUACCACUGGUUAAAAAUAACACGUGGACGUGGAUGUGGAUGGGCGCACUGAAAAUUGCAAGGAGCACUAUGCAUUUCGAGUCUGCACACCUGGCUAGAAACAGUGAAACACCGGAAGAGCUCACUUGAAACAUGCAGCGGUUAGCAGCAGCUAGCGUCAGAGCGAGGAUCGGAGAGGUCUGAGCUUUGUCCUGGUAAACAACAUCGGACUCCGAAGCAGGAGCCUCUCUUUUCCUCGGUCACUCGCACGCGCCUCCUGUGCCGGCAGCUUCAGCCGUGGCGGGUGGUAGCCGACGCGUGCACUGCCUGGCCGCGGAAUCGCUGAUCCAGCUGCGCCAACAAGACCGACGUCAAGCAGGUCACAGACAGAGCCAGCUUCCCCCCAAACGAGAUGAGGACAGGCGAGCUCCACAUACCAGGGUGACGAACCACAUCCAGUAUGAGAUUUGCAAUCAGGCAUUCUGUAAACAACCGUCUUCAGACAACUUGUCAAGGAACUUUUCAAGACAAUUAGGAGCACUUUUCCAUAAAAACUUAUCAUCAAAUUUUUGCCAAAAACUGAAAUAAUGGGAUAAUAUAUUUAUGUAAGAAUAUAAUGUACCACUGUGAUGUUGUGACUUAAUUUUGGAAGGUUACCAUGAUGAUGUACAUACAAACUUACACCUGAACUAACAAGCUAAUUAGAUAGUCUUUACCAAAAAAAAAAGACUCGGUAGCUUGUUACACAUUCAAUAAACAGAAUAUGCAUGAACUACUGCUCCAAGAGCAGCUGCUUCAUCUGGUUUCACCCUUAUGCUUGGCUCCAUCCCAUUAAAGGAUUCCUUGACAAGUCUCUGGAUCUUUGGGAUCAUGGUGCUUGUACCAACAAGAAUAAUCUCAUCGAUCUUGAUGUUGCCCCUCCUUUCCUCUGCUUCUAGCAUCACUCUCCUUACCAACGCAACAACUCUGCGGAACGCAUCAUCGUUCAAUUCCUCAAACUUUGACCGUGACAAUGUCUCGGAGAAAUCCACGCCGUCGAAAAGAGACUCAACAGUCACUUGAACAUGCUCUUGGUUGCUCAAUGCCUUCUUGGCACGCUCACAUGCCGUCCUCAGUUUUGCAAGAGCGAUCGAAUCCCCACCGGCGUCCUUUCCGUGCUUCAUCCUCACUAGCUCGGCGAAAUAGUCCACGACCUUCUGAUCAAAAUCAUCUCCUCCAAGGAAAGGAUCAUCCCGGGAUUGCGCGGAUUCCAAGCGAACGAUCCAUAAGCGUGACGACGCUCGCAUCAGCCGUGCCGCCUCCGACAUGGAGCACUAGUGCGUUGGCGCCCUCUCGCAGCUUGGUGCGGAGGCCAUAAGCGACGGCAACUGAAAUGGGUUCGGGGACCAUGUCCACUAUGUGUAGCCCGGCAAGCAUGCCGGCCAUCAUAGCCGUGUCCCUGGACCGCCCACUGUAAUGCUGCGGAAUGGUCAUGACGGCGUAGUCGACCGGACCGCCGAGGUACUCCAUGGCCUUGUCCUUGAGCUGGGCGAUCACCAUGGACGCCACCUUCAUCAGGCUGAGCUGCUUCACUGUACCGUCCUUGGACUUGACGUGGAUGCUCGGCGUCUGGAAGUCUCUUGCAGUGAUCUUGUACGGAGCACGCUUGAUGGCUGUCUGCACGAUGUCGCCCUCGUACCAGUGGUUUGAUGUCAAGGACCUGGGCGCCUAGAGUCGGAGGCCCCUGACUCCUCAGUUCAUAACUCGAACCAGGUAGUGGAGGUGCCAGGGUUUUGCCUGACUACCACAGCAGGAGGUGAGAUUAAGAACAACAGAGAGAGGGGGAGGUUUGGGAAACUUCUUUUCUUACUUCCUUCAACGAGUACAGGGGUACCUAUAGGAGCUCUGCUCCAUUGCUACUUGCGCCAGCCAUUAACUGCUAGCUGGCUAAUUAAUUCCUUAAUCUCUUCAACUUCUACUUAAUUGCCUUAGAGAUUGCAGCCCCUCCAGCCGCCUAAACCUCCUUGGGUUCUUCCAGGCCAUGCGCACCCUUGAGUUCUGCUCCGGCUGCACCUCGUGUUCGAGGCCGGCGGCUGUACUGUCGGCCCCACAUGACAUUUGAUCUGUUAUUAACGACCAUCUAAUUAUUAAUCUUACUCUACUGCUGUACGUAUUUGGUUGUCGUAAUCAUGCAGGAUAUGAUCGAGUAGCUAACCAGCGACAACGAGUAGCUGCAUGCUGUUUACCUUAGCCCGAGCAAGCGCUUGAAACCGAAGAUCACGGCUUCAGGAUCAGCGCCGGCGUGGUUCCUGGCGGCCUCGCCGACGAGGGUGGCGCCGUCGUCGGUGAAGGCGACCCAGGACGGGAUGUAGAAUUGGAACAUGGUGUCGGUCUUGGCGGGGGCAUAGCCGGCGAUGCAGGAGUUGGUGUUACGCAGAUCGAUGCCGACCACUUGGACGGGCGGCGGGUACCAGAGAUGCGAUCCCGCACGAAGUCCGUGUACAUAUCCGGGAGACCGGGAUGGGGAAUUUGGAGCCCCGACGCCGAGGAAAGCAAGCAAACGAACGCCAGCGAUAUCUGAAGAAGAGUAGCCGCCGCUACGCGGCGAUCGCCGGCAGCAGCCAUCGCGACAAGAGAUCCAGAGGGGAUCGUGGUUUGUUUGCAUCUCUUGGAUUCUCGGUUAUAGAUAUAGGCGGCGGAUGGGAGCUAUUCCGUUUCGGUUUGGAGUACGAGACUGGUUGUGGCUGAUGUGGUGGGGAAGCUACGUUAGAUCACUCUAAGAGUCUUCUAAUUUUUUUUUUCAAAACUAUAUAUUGGGGGCUCUUCUAAAAUUUUCUUUCCCCAAAAUAUUAUCAUCCUAUAGCAGAUCUCUAAAAAACUAGCCUCCUCAAUAUUUCAAAAUAGGCCACGUCAUCACGAUUUUGCGCUUAAAGUCCAUAGAAGAAAACCCACCUCGGACUUAAACCCUCACUUUUUUCCUUGCAAAACAACCCCUCUCACCCUUUUUUGCUCGCACGGUCAAGGCGGCAUGGGCUUGACCGCCAGUUUCCUCGCUGGCGACGAGCUAGCCGAUGAUGAGACCAUGUCGUGGCCGAUGAUGAGACCAUGUCGGGGGAGCAUCAGUGACGCGAGGCACAUCUAUUUUGGUGGUUUUCAUCGAGGGGUAUUGGCUGGAGCCAGGUCGGUGGCGUGCGAGCGGAGGUCGGGGCCAAGCAGCAACGGUGGCCAGGGAUCUCCAGUCCCUGGUGCAGGAAGCCAUGUGGCGGGCAGUGAGUGAGUGGUUGAGGGGGUAGAGGAGCAAGUGUGUGAGCUUCCCACCACCGCCACCCCUCGCCCCGCCGCCGUUGCAGAGCUUCCUGCCAUGCACGCACACCAAAUCUCGUGGGAAGCCUCUCUCGCGUGCGGGAAGGGGGUGAUUGGGGGAGGAAGACGUCGCGCAUAAGGCUCUGUUUUGGCGUCGCGAAUUAAUUGGGGAAGUUUUGAGGAAGCUGUUGGAGUCUUUUUUUUUUCUUUUUUCUCCCUAAACAAGGUACUAGAAGUAGGAUACAUAUUCUUUUUGAGUUGCUCUUAGGAAACGGGCAAGUUUACCGGGACAACCUGGUAACAAUCAGAAUUAUUCUGGUUGAUGAUGCAUCAGCACCCCUCGCAUGGAGAUCAGCAAAGAUGCAUGAAUGGACUGUCAGACAGUGAACCAAAUGUCUAAGCGUGUGUUUGGUUUGGAGACCAGAUGGGAUGAGUCGGUCCCGUCCUAUUUUUUUUGGAUGGGAUCGUCCCGACUCGUGUUUGGUUGACAAGGAUGGAUUCGUCCCGAUUUUUUGUUUGAUUGGAGGCACUGCACUACGUGGGAUGAGCACCGUUUUUUUUCUUCCGUUAGCCUCUGUCAGCGGGCCCCACUUGUCACUCUAACAACACAUCUUCUCCCCCAAUCUUCUUCCUCAGUGACCUCACCCCCGCCUGCGCUUGGGGAGCUCGCCCGGCCUGCCAUGGGCACUGGAAGCGCCGCCUGGGAGCAUCCCGUCCCGUUCCAUCCCAUCUUUGAAAACAAAGUCAUCAUAAGAGGCUGUGAGCUGAAAAAAAAGUAGGUUCUUCUGAUUCCGUGAAGUGAUUUUCCAUCCUGAUUUGAAAAGUUUAUGCUAGAGAAUCAAUUUCGCCCACAGAAUUACUUCUCUUAGAGAAUCAGUUCCCAUAGAGAAUCAGAAUCAGAUGGAGCUCUACCAGACAGACCCUUACAUGCCAAAUUUAUCUCCUUUUAUAAACGUCUGAUGUGGAAUCACACAAUAGUGGAAUUCUCUUUCAGUACAUAUGCUAAGCCUAGCUUGUAUAUGUUUUUUUUCACAGUUGUGUACAUAGUGCAAGCAAACUAGCUAGUUGAGUCACAUGACAACUAACUAGUUCAGGUUUUACUUUAGGAACCAACGGUGAAGUUUCUGAGUUGCACUUUUGGCAGAAUAACUCAAGCCAUGAAGUGUAUCUUUCAGUUGCUGUCUAAUUUUUGUUCACUAAGCUGUCAAAACAUAUAGUACACAUUAUUUAACCCUGGUCCAACACAGCAAUGACAGGUGACAUAUUAGCUAGCAAAUUAAAACAAGCCCGUUGAGUGAUUAGACUUGAAUCGGGAGAUUUAUUAACAUGUUAUAGUUGUUGGGAUUAGGUUUUGUUUGAGAAGCCAUGGAUGUUGACUCAUUAACAGGGGACAAUAAUGGUGAGCAAAUUUAAAUCAGGAAUCAAGAGGACAUAUAAAUAUUGUUGGUUGCCUUUCCACUCGGUAUGAUCAUUACAUAAAUAUUGGAGAAUUGUAGUUGCUAGCUAACAGAUAUAAGGUUCCUCAAAGGCAGACUUGUUUUUCUACAGCUUUAGGGUCAGAUAUGCUUCAGUUAGUUAUUUUUAUCUUGGAAUUGUUGAUCUAUUUUAAAAUAUAUAAACAACACAUUGUUUAAUGUUUUUUGUAAAAAAAAUGAAAAGUUCAUGUUGAGAGCUAGAUAAGACCGUAAACAUCUAUGACUGGGCCAUGGUAUGUGCAUAAAUAAAGGUAGGACGUAGUGCAAAGAAAUGUUAAAAUAUGGUUCGUGAUGUCGUUUUGACUUUUCUGUUCUUAUUUGCUGGUUUUUUCUCCCUCUCUCUAGCUUAAUGAAAUGGAAGAGAUACUCCCUUUAUUUUCAAAAGAUAAAAAUGUGUACAUUUAUGACUAGAAUGUGUUUCCCUUUAUUUCAAAUCAGAGAUUGACAUCCAUGGUCAAAGACUAAUUACAAGUCUAAAUGUGAUGGAUGGUGUGGCAUCGUUGAGUAGAAAGCCAGUUGCUGCAAGAAAUAAUUUUGAAGCUAAUUAGCAACAUUAACACUUGAAAAAUUAAAGUGCCUCUACCCAUAUCAAUCAAUCCACAUGUAUUUCAACUGUGGAACAAAAGAAGGGCAUGCAAUAAAGAAAAAUAAAAUUAGAGGGACAUGAUGGGGCCAACCGAAGAGAGAAAGACCCUAAACCUUCUCCUCCCCCCUCUCUCUCUGAGACUCUGACUCUCUCUCUCUCCCCUCUCUCCCUCUCUGCCUAAGGAUAGAGAAGAACAAAGUCACAGUAUAAUAGGCAGCCUAGCUAUAAGGACAAGAUCUUCCUCUGAACUGUGGGAUUGGCACACCUAUAGAAGCUGAAACUAUUAUAGUGUCAUGUCAACAAGAAGCUGCGUGUGAGCAAGAGCAACUCAGAACACAAAGGGUACGUAGAUCGCCUGCCCUCCAACUCUCCUCCAAGGGCUCCAAGUUACUUUGUGGUGACUCCUGAGCUCUUGCUUGUUGUAUAUAUCCCAAUCCCGGUAUGUCUUCGACUCCACCAUCUUUCCAUACAUGUUCUGACCUAACCGCGUGUAGCAUCAUGGAGACAUGGACAUCUGAUUUGAUGUUUCUGCAUUCUGGAUGCAGAAGCUAGCUAGCAGGGUAGUCAACAAUCUUGAAGGAGAGCAAGGAUUUGUGUUGUUCGUCUUGGCGUGCCUCAGGAUGGGAGAGACCAGUACUAGUACUAGUCAUUCAAGACAAGAUCCUUCUCUUCUUGGCGAUGGCUUUCUUCUUGGCUAUGGCUUCCAUGGUGCCAUCUCUCGGCUAGGCACCUCCAGGCCCAUCACAAGACUUGUACGGACCCACUCAAGGGAAUAUACCCGGAACCUACUCGGACAUGAAGACUACUCUGCAGGGCGCGUAGGCUUCAUGGACUCCCCGAAGACUAGUCGGGUCAAAAGGAAACUACUCUACCGAGUUAGAGUAGGACUCUGUAAACAUACUCAACUAGGACUCAUACACAAUCUACCGUGUAACUCUGCUCUCCCGACUAUAUAAGGGCGGGCAUGGACCCGCUUCAAACAACGAAGAACAAGAUCAAUACAACCUACACACAAGACAUAGGGUAUACGCGAUCUAGCGGCCUGAACCUGUCUAAAUCGUGUUCCUUGUGUCACCAUCGACUCCUUGAUUCUAAACGACACCCACCGCACAAAAGAUCACCUUGGGUACUCCUUAGGCGGGUUGCCGGUCUAAAACACCGACACCAUUGCCAACUCCACUCCUCCUGCAAACUUCUUGUAAGAACUGCACCCUUGACCCUCCUCCAUCCCCUCCCGUCUUGGCAGCAACGAUUUAUGCAAAUGUAAAAUUAGAGAUGAUUGAGUAGCACCACCUUGCACUUGUUUCUGAAUUUAUGCAAUUUUUUGCAUGAGAAGCUCACAUUUAAAAUUCUCGAAUUUAUGCAAUUUCUCUAGAUUUGCUCUCCUCUAAUUGCUACUACUUGCCGUUUCACAUGCAUGCCUAGCACUGGCAGUGACCAAGGAGGAGGUACCUAUUUUGGAGAGCUGGAAGAGGCUUUCAUGCAUCAGGUUACCUCACUCAGAAGAACUCAACAGGCUACAACCACCUCCACGGCUCACCAUGGAGACACCAAGCGUAAGCCAACUCCCCACCACCUCUCUCUCUGACCAAGACCAAGAAGACACACAACUGUUUCUCUCUCUGGCUGGCCAAGGCCAAAAACACACAACCUUGUGAGGCACUUUUCCAAUAGGUUAGGGCAUUGUAGUCAAAAGCAACCAUGCAGGAGUGGCGGCUGUGCAGCUGUGCUGCUUGUGUGGUGUGACUACCUCGUGAUUCCUCUCUCUCCCCCUCUCCAUCUGUCUCUUCUCUCUUGCAACGAGUUGAACAGUUGAUCUCCAUGGUAGUACUAGUACAACAGUGCCACACUACCAAGUACUAACACGCUGGCUGACUGGCUCUCUGCAGGCACAAGCUCAAAGAGAAUAACUCUACUCACUUUCACUGACACAGUGGCCCCCACUUCUCUUCCCUUGUCCUUGUGAUCCCAAUGCACACCCCUUUCAGUUUCACCUCUGGUAGAUUACUUUGGAUGCAUGUCUUGAUCUCCUCCUCCCCUAUGAAAUCUUCUUGCAGCCUUUUCCACUGUUGCUACUGCUACUGGCAACGGCCCUAUAUGUCCACGGCUUCCCAGCUUGGCCUAUGACGAUGAGGUCUGUUCACACACCCAAGGUAUGGACUAUGGACUAGCUACGAGUAUAGAGUUGUCUGUGCAUCUAGCUAGUUAGUACAAGCAAGAACACAAGUUGCAACUGCUCUCCCUUUUGCUUUUGCACUAUUAGGAGGGCUCAAAUUUGACGGUAGACAACACAGACGACUCGAAGAGCAGCAGCAAGAACACCAACAAUCACUCCUCAGAUCACCAGCUCGGAGCAGCAGCAGCAAACAUGGCCAGCCAAUUUGAUCAAGUUCCACAGCAGAUUCAGCACAAGGUAUGUAGGCGUUUCUCUGUGAUAUGUCCACGGCUCUGCAUCUCACAACUUUUUUUUAUGCAUCUGUUCUUCUUGGAUGUGUUCUUGGCUUCUGCAUCCAUCUCUCCUGCUCAUCCUUAUCAUGGAAAAUGCAAUGUAUAUCUUGUUCCCUAUACUGGCCUCAUGUCGCUGGCUAGCCCACAAAAGGCCACAACUUCCAAGAUACUCAUGCCGCUAGCUACAUGCUCCUAUCGGUAGAGGAACACUGUUCCAGGGCAUUUAUCAUCUGCUUGCUGCUCCCAAUAUUGCCAAUCCCAAUUCCCAACACAUUAGGUGAAUCUUUUGGCCCCUAGGGCCCUAUACAGAAAUAAGAAAAAUCUUCUACCAAGAACUAGUCCUCUAUUUUAUGCGCCUAGAAGAACUAGCCAUUCUAGGGGGUGUUUGGAUCCCCGGGCAAAAUUUAGUCCCUGUCACAUCGAAUGUUUAGAUACUAAUUAGGAGUAUUAAACAUAGACUAUUUACAAAAUCUAUUGCACAGAUAGAGGCUAAACGGCGAGAUGAAUCUAUUAAGCCUAAUUAGUCCAUGAUUUGACAAUGUGCUGCUACAGUAACCAUUUGCUAAUGAUGGAUUAAUUAGGCUUAAUAGAUUCGUCUCACCGUUUAGCCUCCAUCUGUGUAAUUAGUUUUAUAAUUAACUCACAUUUAGUCCUUCUAAUUAGCCUCUGAAUAUUGAUGUGACAUGGACUAAACUUUAGCUCCAGGAUCCAAACACCCCCUAAUUAUUCUAGAUCAACAAUCUAUUUGUUGUAGGUGUGGAUAAGUCCAGUAGAGGAUAUGUUAGGUUAGUGCAUGAUGGAUCAUGUACUGCAAUUGGUCCUGCAAAAGGAGACAAGUUAGCAUUCUUUUAAUAUGAUUAUUGUCUAUAUCUUCCAAACUUGUGCCCUAAUAGAAAUGCACCAACUGAUGCUUAAAUAAUGGGAACUUCGGGUCAGUGGUGCUUUAGGUACUUUCUGGUCAAUUUGAUCAACUGCCAAGAUAUAUUGGGUGAAAACAUUGUAUAUUAACUGGAUGAUUCACACUUAACCUAAAGAAACUUUGCAAGUUAGGGCGUGACAACAACAUAAACAAAAAGCAAAACCAAGUUUUGUCUGUUCUAAGGUAGGAUGGCUUCCACCAAAUGUACACUACUGUUUUUUUAGUUCUGCUUGAUGUAACUGGAAUGUCGUGAUCUUAUUAUAUACUAUUUAGGUCAUUGACACAUAGUUGAACAACAAUAUUCAUUACCAGGGAAAACACCAUUACUAGGGAAAACACCAUUAGUACCGGUUGGGAACCCACUUUAGUACCGGGUGGACCGAGUAGACCUUUAGUACCGGGUGGAACCGCCACCCGGUACUAAAGAGGGUCACAUGGGACUCCUUGGGGACUAUCCAUUAGGCCCAGUACUUCACAUUAGUACCGGAUCAAAAUGCAACCGAUACUGAGUCUCGGGACGAAUGUUCAUUUUUUUAAUAGUGAUUGUUAUUCCACUUCUCUCCUGUUGUCUAUUUCUACUCAGGUUUAGCAAUUAAAAUGUUGUGACUUGUUCAUGUGUCUACUUGGUAUGCAGGACAUGGCUACAGGUUCCACUCCGAAGACUGGCAAGGCUCUUGAUCCAAAGGUCUCUCUCUUUGGGCUAUUUCAAUCACCUUUUUGACAGUACCUCAGGGUGCUGCAGUUUACGAUGUGUAGGAAGUAUUUGAGGAUCUUGACAAUAAAAGUUUUUAUUCUUUUGGUGUCAGCAGACAGUCAGAAGACUUGCUCAGAAUCGCGAAGCUGCACGCAAAAGCCGGCUGCGAAAGAAGGUGAGUGACUUUUCGAGCAUCAGCUACUUGGAAACUGGAAUUUUUCAGCUGUGACUUUCCCAAAUUGUUGACAGGUAAAAUUUUUGUCAAUGUGCCAUAGGCUUACAUCCAGCAACUUGAGAGCAGCAAACUGAAACUUGCUCAGAUGGAACAGGACGUGCAGCGAGCCCGUUCCCAGGUACAAAUUGUACCCCUGUGUGUGUGUUUGCCUGCUGACUACGAACUCAACAUCUGAAACAAUGAGAUCUCUGAACUUGUAUGUGUUUUUAGGGUCUCUUUCUUGGAGGAGGUCCAGGUGCAAACACCAGCUCAGGUUGUCUGUAAUUUGAUCCUCCUUUCUCAACGUUCUCUUCAUCAGCAUGUGUUGUCUUACUGGAUAUAGUGGCCGUCCAUGGUCAGGCGCCGCGAUGUUCGACGUGGGGUACGCCCGAUGGCUGGACGACCACGGCCGGCGCAUGGCCGAGCUGCAGGGAGCCCUGCACGCGCAUCUGCCGGAUGGUGACCUCAGAGCCAUCGUCGACGACACCCUGACUCACCAUGACGAGCUCUUCCAGCUCAAGGUCGUGGCAGCCAAGUCCGACGUGUCCCACCUCAUCACCGGGGCGUGGACGACCCCGGCGGAGCGUUGCUUUCUCUGGAUGGGUGGAUUCAGGCCCUCUGAUCUGCUCAAGGUAUGAACUUGUGUCUGACAACCGAUAAACAUACAAGCUACCUUCCCCAAGAUUCGUAAGCUGAAUUAAGGUUGAUUUUGUCAGUUGACACACGCAGGUCAAGCAAAAACCUCACUCACUAGACAGUUUGUUAUUACGGUGAAUCAGUUCAUUCACCAAUCAAACUAGUAGAGUGAAAAUGGACUCGAGCUAAAUAUGAGCUCAUACAUGUAUGGUUUACUAACCUUCUCAUGUUUCUGCAGACACUGCUACCCCAGCUAGAUCCCCUGACUGAGCAGCAAGUGGUAGGCAUAUGCAACCUUCAACGGUCAUCACAGGAGGCAGAGGAAGCUCUCUCCCAGGGCCUGGAGCAGCUGCAUCAGUCACUAGCUGACACCAUGGCAGGUGGAUCUCUGAUUGACGACAUCAACAUGAGCUUCAUGGGUCAAAUGGCCCUUGCCCUCGGCAAGCUGGCAAACCUUGAAGGUUUUGUGAUACAGGUUAUGGUUUCUCAUCAAAUCUUGAAUCUCAAUCAAUACAUCACUAUGUCAGUAUUAUAUUUACCAUAUAGAUAUUAGAUACUACACAAGGGCUGAUAUGGUACUCCUCAUUUCAAUCAACUUUGUAGACGAGCAAUGAAAUACGUGAUGAAAAAAAAUAGUUGCAGCAAUAAUUUAUCCAGGGAAACUUUAUCCAUCUGGUCCCACCUGCAUCAUAUUACCUCAUCAGUACCACUAGCGUCCCAAAUAGGCAACUGUUCUUUGUAGACAAUGUCAAAAAUUUAAUUUAUAGAAUUUGCAACGCAUUAUAUAAGAUCAUGCCAUCAGCAAUUAUACAUGUUUAUGUCUGUCUGCAUUCUGGAAAGAAAUGACUUGUCAACUAGACAUGUAACAAUAUGCUUUUGGAAUGCAUCUGCAUAAGUAUAAUCAUAGCAUGGGGUAACCAUAAGUCUAUUCUUCAGUAGCAAUUACUUAAAACUAAUAGGAUGCCAAGAAUAAUGUCCCUGCAAUGUGUGCUAAAACGAAAUGUUUAAUUUCCAGGCUGAUAACUUGAGGCAGCAGGCUCUUCAUCAGAUGCACCGGAUUCUGACAGUUAGGCAGGCAGCUAGGUGUUUCUUGGCCAUUGGUGAGUACCACAAUCGUCUUCGUGCCCUAAGCUCCCUCUGGGCUUCUCGACCUCGAGAGUAAGCACCAUGCAGUUCCUAUAUUGUCCCUACCUUAAGUUGAUUUAAGAAAGAAGUACCCAACCGCUAGUCGUUGAAGGUAGUAUUCAGUAUUCACUAAUGAUUGGGCAAUUGAAGUACACAUUAAACAAGAUUGAUCCAGGGAUUCUGUAGAGGCAUCCUAAAUUACUACCAAGAUGUGCCCUACUAAAUCAGCAGGGAAUGGACCGCCCUCCUACCAGCAAUCAAAAGUCAGCAAGCAACCAUACCAAAAAAAAUAAAAAUAAAGUCCAUACUCCCUUAAAAAAAAGGGCCAUGCUAUGGCACAUUUUUCUCUUUCCAGAUGUUUGGCCAACUAACUGGAUUCUAUAAAUUUAAAGAAUUAGCUGAAUAGCUAUAGCAUAUUUUUUCAAGAUGCUUCCCCAAUGUAUUUAUUAUUGAUAGUGCCUGUAUUGCCUGCAGGAUGCUGGUGGCAGAUGAAGGCAAUUGUGGAGAGAUAAGCGUUGCGACACAGCCAUCCCAAAGCCAAUUUUCCAGCCUUCUGACGCAUGCUGUGGAACUAACCUUCAGCUUAGGAGCAAGAGAAAAAUGACCGGGAAGAGAAGUUUUGGAUGCUGGAAGACAUCUGGGCUACAGAAGAGAGCUGGGAAGUGCAGGAAGCUUUAGAACAAGGAGUGUUUCUGGAAUUUUCUUUUUGGGGAACCAGUGUUUCUGAGGAUGUGCAGAGAGAAACAGCUGCUAGGAGGCGCUGAAAAUUCUAGAUCCCAUUGUCCACAUUAUGAUAAAUAAGCGCCUUCAGAUCCUCUUACUACGAAAUCAAUGGUCCAUGAAUGAUCCGGAUGCAUUUUGCAAAUUGUAUCAGUACUAGAUUGCUUUGCAAGUGUUAAGAUUGAGUCAUGAAUGAUCCAUGCUUAUAGUAAAAUUUCAUGUAUAAGACAGUCGCUGAAAGUCUGAAACCAGGGUUGCUGGACAUCCCCCACAGGCAAAAAAAAAAAAAAAAAAAAAAAUCACCUACUAUUUGCAGUGUGCCACUUGCCAGAUUCACACUAUGUGCACUUGCCAGGCCCACAACCCCUCCGCCCCUCCCUCUCCCCCAAUCCCCCAGACGGCCAAAUCCCCACCGCCGCCUCUCUCUCGGCUCUCGCAUCUGAGCAUCUGGCGACUGGCGGCCCGCCGCCCCCUACCCCCACCGCACGGUGCCUCGCCCUCCCUGCGGGCCUCGUCGCCUCAGCUGCCGUCGCAGCUCCCUCCCUGGCUCUCGCAUCUGGCUCACUCUGUUCUUUCUGAACGCUAGGUUCCGGCCUGCCCACCCCCACUCGUCGCCGACGGCCGCCGCUACGCUCCUCCCCCUCCCAUGCCGGCCCCUCCUCAAGCACUAACCCCCACCCUCCACGCAUCCUUCCUGUGCUCCCUCGCGCUCACCCUCCUCCGAGCCGGCCGCCUCUCCGCCGCCUCCCAAAUCGUCUCCUCGUUCCCCGCCUCCCCUCCGGCUAGCCUCCUCCGCCGCCUCAUCCCUGCCCUUGCUUCCUCGGGCCUCGCCGCCGCCGCAGUCCGCUUCCGCCCCCUUCCAGGUGACCCCCACACACUCAACUCGAUCAUCCUCUCCUACUGCAAGCUCCGCUUGCUCCGCCCCGCGCUGGGCCUCCUGCGUUCCUCCUCCACGCCGCAGUCUCAGGUUGCGGUUGAUACCGUUAGCUACAACAUAUUCCUCGCUGGCCUCUCCGAGCAGGGCCAUGGGAAGCUCGCUCCGCCCGUGCUUGCCGAGAUGUGCAAGCGCGGCGUGCCCUUCGAUGGGGUCACCGUCAACACGGUGCUCGUGGGGUUGUGUAGGAGCGGCCUGGUGGAUGAAGCCGCGAGAUUGACCGAGAUGUUGGUCGGAGGCCGAGGAAUCGGCAGCUUAGAUGUGGUGGGAUGGAAUGCCCUCAUUGAUGGGUACUGUAAAGUCCAGGACAUGGCCGCAGCAUUGGCUGUGGCGGAGAGGAUAAGGAAACAAGGGGUGCCGCUUGAUGUCGUGGGGUACAAUAGCUUAGUUGCUGGGUUUUGCCACUCCGGCGAUGCUGGUGCUGCAUGGGACAUGGUGGAGGCAAUGAAGGCGGAUGGCGUGGAGCCGAAUGUGGUGACAUACACUGCGUUCAUUGGGGAGUAUUGUAAGCGCAAGGGGAUUGAGGAGGCAUUCAAUUUGUACGAGGGAAUGGUGAGAUUUGGUGUGCUGCCGGAUGUGGUCACACUUAGUGCUCUUGUCGAUGGCCUCUGCAGGGAUGGCCGGUUCUCAGAAGCAUAUGCACUUUUCAGGGAGAUGGACAACAUUGGAGCUCCACCGAACCAUGUCACAUAUUGUACACUUAUCGAUUCAUUAGUGAAAGCGCGGAGGGUCAAGGAAUCUUUUGGUCUCUUGGGAGAGAUGGUUUCAAGGGGUGUGGUCAUUGAUCUGGUCAUGUAUACAGCUAUGAUGGACUGUUUAGGUAAGGAAGGGGAGAUUGAGGAAGUGAAGGACAUACUUCAGCAUGCUCUAUUGGAUAAUCUCACCCCCAAUUGUGUUACUUACACUGUACUGAUCGAUGCACACUGCAGAACAGGCAAUGUCGACGGGGCAGAGCAGGUGCUGUUGCAAAUGGAGGAGAAAUCUGUUAGCCCAAAUGUUGUUACAUUCUCAUCAAUCCUCAAUGGUCUUGUUAAAAGAGGAUACCUCAAUAAAGCAGCUGAUUAUAUGAGGAAGAUGAAGGACAGUGGGAUUGCUCCUAAUGUUGUGACUUAUGGAAUACUUAUUGACGGCUUCUUCAAGUUCCAAGGGCAAGAAGCAGCUCUUGAUGUGUACCAGGAUAUGUUGCAUGAGGGUGUUGAAGCAAACAACUUUGUUGUUGACUCACUGGUAAAUGGUCUGAGAAAGAAUGGGAACAUAGAGGAUGCUGAAGCAUUGUUUAAAGAUAUGGGUGAACGUGGUCUGUUGCUAGACCAUGUAAACUAUACCACCUUAAUCGACGGGCUUUUUAAAACAGGAAACAUGCUAGCUGCUUUUAAGGUUGGUCAGGAGUUGAUGGAGAGAAACCUGUCACCUGAUGCUGUUGUCUAUAAUGUGUUUAUCAAUUGCCUUUGCAUGCUUGACAAGUAUAACGAAGCAAAAUCUUUUUUGAAAGAGAUGAGAAAUAUGGGCAUAGAACCUGAUCAAGCAUCAUAUAACACUCUGAUUGCUGCACUGUGCAGGGAAGGAAAGACCUCCAAAGCUCUAAAGCUACUGGAUGAAAUGAAGCGGAGUUCUAUAAAGCCUAAUCUUAUCACAUAUACUACACUUGUUGUGGGUCUUCUUCAUGCUGGGGUUGUGGAGAAGGCAAAAUAUUUGCUAAAUGAGAUGGCUUCUGCUGGAUUCACUCCAACAUCUCUGACCCAUCGAAGGGUACUGCAUGCAUGUUCUGGAAGCAGGAGAUUGGAUGUGAUUUUGGAAAUUCAUGAAUGGAUGAUGGAUGCUGGUCUUCAUGCUGACAUCAUUGUCUAUAAUACACUUGUGAAUGUUUUGUGUUGUCAUGGAAUGACAAGGAAAGCUAAAGUUGUUUUGGAUGAAAUGUUGGGGAGAGGAAUUGCACCAGACACUAUCACAUUCAAUGCUUUGAUUCUCGGCCAUUGUAAGAGUAGCCAUUUAGAUAAUGCAUUUGCAAUGUAUGCUCAGAUGCUUCGUCAAGGGCUCUCACCAAAUAUUGCUACAUUCAACACACUUCUGGGAGGUCUUGAGUCUGCUGGAAAAAUUGGAGAAACGGAUACUGUUCUCAGUGAGAUAAACAAGAUGGGUCUUGAACCCAAUAAUCUCACCUAUGAUAUACUGGUGACAGGAUAUGCAAAGAAAAGCAAUAAAGUUGAAGCACUGAGGCUGUAUUGUGAGAUGGUGAGUAAAGGCUUUAUUCCCAAAGCAAGCACGUAUAAUUCACUCAUAAGUGAUUUUGCUAAAGCUGGAAUGAUGAACCAAGCUAAAGAGAUGUUCAAAGAAAUGAAAAGGAGAGGGGUUUUACAUACGUCCUCAANNNNNNNNNNNNNNNNNNNNNNNNNNNNNNNNNNNNNNNNNNNNNNNNNNNNNNNNNNNNNNNNNNNNNNNNNNNNNNNNNNNNNNNNNNNNNNNNNNNNNNNNNNNNNNNNNNNNNNNNNNNNNNNNNNNNNNNNNNNNNNNNNNNNNNNNNNNNNNNNNNNNNNNNNNNNNNNNNNNNNNNNNNNNNNNNNNNNNNNNNNNNNNNNNNNNNNNNNNNNNNNNNNNNNAGCCUUGUAAUUUCACUCAGCCUUGUAAUCUUACUUAAAAAAUCUUUUCUAUUUGGAAUCAGGGUGCACACAUUGGUCUGUAUUUUAUAAACAGACCUGAGUGGAUUAUAGUUGAGCAUGCUUGUGCUUCACAUUCAUACGUAUCUGUGCCAUUUUAUGACACUCUUGGUAUGUUCACAACCCAGAAUGACCAUAGGCUUCCUGUUCAUUCUUGAUUCAUCUAGUGACAAUGUGAAACUGGAUCCUCUGGUUCAGAUCAAACUGAUAUGGGACAAUGUUUGUAUCAGUGGGCCUCUAUGCAAAAGUCAGCAAAUGGUAGAUCUACCACAGAUUAAAUGUUCUCUUUGGUCAAGUCAUAGUUUGCAAGUUUUGUAAGUUUUAACUAUAUGUACAUGUGUUCAAUGCUUAUAGGGCAUAGGCAUACAUACACUGUUCUUAUGGCGUCGUCUAGGCGUCCCGGCGGCUAUAGAAGCUCGGCGUCCUGCCCGCCACGGCUUCGGCGCGUAUGGCGUUGCCUGGCGCGGGUUAGGCGUCGCCUCGCGGCGUCGCGCGGGUAAGCGACGCCCGCGCGGUCAAAAAAAAAAAGAGCGGGGAGCGCGGGAAGGGACUCGGAGCACGGGAAGAGAGAGCGCGCGUCUGUGUACCCCCGCGCGGGCCCAUGCCCCCAUCCCUGCGCGCCAGUUGAGGAAAGAGAGGAGGGGGGGGGAGAAGAGGGAAGUGGCGUGAGUCGUGACUGGCGGAGUGCCGCCUCAAACGAGCCGAGGGGGAAGAGAUCCGCUGCACCUGGAAGCCCGCCUGCCGGCGCCGAGGGGGAAAGGAAGGCAUCCGUCGGCACCUGGAAGACCGCCCGUCGGCGCCUGGAGCCCUCCCGCCGGCACCGCCUGGAGCCCGCCCGCCGGCGCCUGGAGCCCGCGCCUGGAGUCAUCCUCUGCUCUGCUCCUUUGCUCUACUCCUCAGCGCCUGCUCAGUUAUAUGCUCCUCUCAUCCUCUGCUCCUCUGCACCAUGUGUUGUGCUAUACUGCCUAUUAGUGCUAUACUGCUAUAUACUGCGGUACUGAUUCGCCUAGGCUAUAUGUAUGGCGUCGCCUCGCCGCGCGCCUUAUUCACCUAGGCGUCUCGAAGGGGGUGGGUCGCCGCGAGUCGCCUUACCGCCGUAAGAACAUUGCAUACAUAGCAUGCUCAUGUUGGGCAUGUCACCUUCAUUUUACAACAUGUGUAUCUGUUCUUUUCUGCUUGUUCCUAUGUAUUGGGCACCCAUCUUUUCUGAAAUCCUCAGAUUCUUCCUAUAUUGUGCACCCCUGAUUUCUGAAAUCCUCCGAUUCUUCAACUCAGGGAAAGGCUAGUCCUCAACCUUUUCGUCCUCCAAAAGCUGAAGAUGUUGAUACUAUCUGUUACACUAGUGGCACUACUGGCACGCCAAAGGUAAAUCAUCCAUCCUUCUGAUUGUUCUUUGCUCCUACAGGAAAGUACUUUUUUCUUGUACAUUUGCACAUUUCAAAUCCAUGAUGUUGGAUAUCAAUCUUUUCCCAGGGAGCUGUUAUUUCUCAUGAGAACUUAAUUGCAAAUGUAGCAGGGUCAAACCUGAACAUUAAGUUUUACCCCUCCGACGUGUGAGUGUUUCACAUUGGAAAUUAAUUGUUUCUGCUUGCAUAACUUGUCCAAUUCAUAUCAGCUCUUAACAUUUCUGACAAUAGCUUUGUGAAUUGCUCUCCUCAGGUAUAUCUCAUAUCUACCUUUGGCUCACAUCUACGAGAGGGUUAACCAGGUUGCAUUGCUGCACUGUGGUGUUGCGGUUGGAUUCUACCAAGGGGUAUGCAGAUUCAAAGCUAUUUAGAAUGAUAACUAUAUAAUACCUUAAUUUACAGAACAAUUUUGGCAUGCGUUCAGAGAACUAGCUAACAUUAAAGGUUCAUCUGUAAGUAAUAAGUUGGUGCUUGUAGGAGCAGAAUAGGAUCAUCCAUUGCAACACAGUAGCACACACUUGAGUUGCUCCUAGUUUGGAUGACUUUUAUCUUGCAUCAUCAGGAUAGUAUUCUAUCAGUCCAAAUCUGCUUGCAGUAUUUGUGUUCCGUUGUUCAUGGCACCUCUAUCUUGCUUGGAGUAACCCUUUCCCUAUCAUCACAUAGUUAUCCUGCUGCUGACUUCCAUGUCCACACCACAUCAGUUACCUAUACCCAUGCAAGGUUAUCUCCUGUUUGUUUCCCAUGCAAGGUUAUCUCCUGUUUGUUUGCCAGUCUGCGUGGAGCAAACAUUUUGCAUGGCAUUUACAAGAUAUACAUCUAUAGUUACGACCCAUAAUUUUUCACCUCCAAUUUUGACUCUGUCAUAUAACUUACUAUGUUAAUUUUCAGGAUAAUUUGAAGCUAAUGGACGAUUUGGCUGUUUUGAGACCGACAGUAUUCGCAAGUGUUCCCCGGUUGUAUAACAGAAUUUAUGCCGCGUAAUAUAACUAUUCCACAAACUUAGUUAUUUUAUGUUCUAUGUUUAGUAUAAAUACUUAAAAAGUGAUAUAUUCUAUUGGAACUGCUAAUGAGCUUGUUUCUUAUUUGUUGUGUAGAAUUAAUAAUGCUGUGAAGGAGUCUGGUGGGCUGAAAGAAAAAUUGUUUCAUUCUGCAUACAAUGCCAAGAGGCAAGCGAUCAUUAAAGGUAAGAAUAGUAUGAAGCUCAGUGAAGAUAAGUGCCCUUUUUGUUGUUUGGAUAAUAGUUAUGAGAAUUUCUUCUGCAUCAAUAGUGAAACAUAAAAUCGAUACAGGUGCUUGUACAGCCUAUUAUCAAAUUAUGAGAGGUCUCCUGAGUAGAAAGGUUAGGUGAGCAAGGUCCCAAUUGACCCACCUGGGUUCGAUUCUCCCCAGGGGAACAUUUUGCGUCUUCCCCUCAGUCUUGUUCAAAUAGUGAACCACAAUACUGUUCGUGGGCUAUGCAUAUAUUCGCAUUUUUUAAGAAGAGUUGGAUCAACUAACUUAGUUGUUAGACCUCUGCUCCUUAUUUUGUUUGAUUUUGUUGAAGGCUGUCAUCAUAAUUUUUAAAGAUUUUGGCACGAAACAUAUACCUGAUACCGAGGUACAUAUAUUUAAUGAAACAACGAAUAUGCCAAAAAUUGGAUAAGAUUUUUCCUUGUAUUUUGCAAGAGAAUUCCUAUGUGUUGUUUUUUAUGCUUCUAUAUUCAUAGUGUUAGAUGUAUAUGUACUCUUUGUAUUUUCCCCAUUGUAUAAGGUCAUAUGCAUCUAACACAUCGGUCAUUCAUUACCUACACAAUAGAUGUUUUUCUGUGGAUCCUUAAAAUGCCUGUCAUUAAUUUAUACUUUAUUUAACCAAGGGGUGCACAGUAAAAUUUUAUUUUUAUUAUUAAAUAAACCCUUUUCUUAUAAAAAUACCUGGUGUAAAUGACAUUUUCCUCUAAGUCAAUACUGUAGUCUAGGUUACAGAGGUAUGGCUAGGUUUCUUUUCCAUUUUUGAAAAUUUGAUCCAGUCUGUAUGGAAGAAACUGGUCAAUGUUCCAGUAGCUUGUAGUAAGAUAAUAUUUUUUUAGUUUAUAUGUCUUUGUGUUGUAGUUUUGUAUAUAUGUUACUAUCUUUUGGAAAAAUCCAGUAUCCCUGCUUUUUCUUGUAAAAUAGAAUACCCUUUGCUAUCUUUUACUAUUUUUUCUUUUGGUUCCCAAAACCCAAAUAUAGUUUGGAAGCUAGAAUAUGGUGCAGUCGACCAUUUGGGUUUGGCUGUGCAAAUGGCUGUACUGAUUGAAGCUAUUCUCCAGCAUCCCUCCCUCAAAGUUGAGAUGGAUGUACUAGCCCAAUUUGAGCAACUAUACAUGGAGUUCCUACAAUUGAAAAAGACAAAUCCUGUGAAAUAUCAGAGUAUAGUUGCAGCAAUACCUUAUCGUGAAAUCAAUGAGUUCCAUUGGAAAUGUGAAGCCCAGGACAACGAAUACCUUGAUGAAGUCUUGUCUUACCUAAAGAACAUGAAUGUAGAUUUACCGGUUUGCGGUACUGUUGAGUUGGUUCAAUGUGCUAGGGCUUUGAAAGCUGAUAACACUCUCUGGAAAUUUGUGCAUGCGAAGCGUAGGGAACUUGUUGUUGGAUGGGUCAUACCUGAUGAGCUGUUGCCAGAUAGAGGAACAGAUCGUGCAGUCUUCUUUCAGGUUUGCCUUAAGGAUCUGCAAGUAAAAUAUGGAGAUGGUGGAGGGGAUUUGGUAGAGAAUAUAAGAAACAAUGGCCAACAUUUGGUAGAGGAGAACGCUUUGAAGGAACUUGAUCCUCCAGCGUCUGGGUAUACUGUCCUUUUUAAGUACUUUCAGGUCAUGCACAUUUUUGGCCACCACUACCCAAGAGUAUUUUGUCAGUUCUUCUUGGGUAUGCAUGCACAAGGGUGUGUUCCAAGCUCCUCCAGCAAGAAUCUAAGUCACAUAAUAAAACAAUAUCAGUGAACGAGACUGAUCUUCUACAAGCAACAAUUGUUUGUGAAGAGAAGUUUUUCUUAUCCUGGAUCAGCACCCUUUUUUUUUUCCUUUGCAGACGUAGUAGAAGUAAAAUACCACCUCCUGUUGACUGUUGAAUGCUUAUUGUUGAGCUGCUGGGAAUCAGUGGUGGAGGUGCUUGAUCCUGCAGUACUAGAACAGCGGUGGAGGAACUUGCAAUUGAACUCCAGUAGCAGAACAGCAGAUUCUUCCCUGACCAAAUGACCAGAUCCUUGAAAACAACCGUCAAGAUGGCGUGCAAUGUCAAGUCCAAUGUGCUCACACAGUUUGACCAACGCUUCAGCAUUAACACUAACUAUUUAUGUAUGCUUUGGUUGUAGUGACUAGUUUGUGAUACACUACUACUGUCUUGCUUUUGCUGCUGCCAUGAACUUGAUUCUAGGUUGAAUUAUUGUUGGUUAGUGGAUUACUUGAACUGUAGAAGUCUAGAACUGCUGUUAUGUAAUAUCUACGUGAGUUAUGACUGGUGAAUGGUGAAUUGUUGAACUGGUGUCAUGGUAUGUGCCUAUGUGAUGUGAUUGGUGAACUCUAAUUAUUGUUCCCGUGAAUCUGGUAUGUGCUUGUGGGCUGUGAGCCUGUGAUUAUCAGGAAUUUAUGUUUGUUUUUCAUCUAACUAUGUAUAAUUGAUUCAAUGUUGUUCUGACUUUGGUUGGUAAGCAUACCCAUGAAGAUUCUCCGUAUGUUCCGAUUUGUGCUGCACUAGGGUUUCGUGAUGUUGAUUUUACCUUGUUUUUGUCUGAUCCAUGGGUUGAUAGGGUUGAUCUGUGGUUCGAUUCAUGCGCCUGACUUGUGGAGGGCACCUUUUUCCAAAGCAAAUGGCUGCAGUCCUGUCUGUUUGUCUCAUGCGCCUUGUGGAAUUAAACUGACUAUAGUAGCUAGAUAUACUGCUACUGCCAUAAUGUGCAAAAUUCCAAUCUUGUUUCAAUCAAUUAUUUUUUUCUGCUGAAUGGAAAUUGCACAUACGAAGUUUCUAGGAUUAGUCACUCGUACAUGAAUGGAAACUGCACAUACGAAACUGUGCUGCAGUCUAUAGCUAGGUUCAGGAAAUGGUCCUUCUUGUGCCAAUUUUUAUUGAACUAUUGACUGAAAUUUGCACUGCACCUGAUUCAUUCAGUCUUUUGCUGAACUGAAUUGAAUUGAAUAUGACUUGUAGCAAAUGCUACUUAUUCACUACCACUUUGCUAGUAUUCAGAUCUGAUAUGUGGCAAAUGAUAAGAUAAAUACUAUUUGUUCAUUGUGGGUAGUUUAAUCCAGUUGGCAAAUUGUCAGAUUUAUAUUCUUUCUUUACACCGCAACUGUAUGGUAUCUAGUUUCCAACCUGCAACAGCUUGGCCACAAGUUAGAACUGCACAAUUUGAGGAAAGUAAAGAGUGGGUCAAAGGCUAAUCUCCAUGAGAAACAGAAACUAAGGAUCUGCCAAUAGUAUGGUUGUCCUCUCUUGAGCAUUUGUAUUUAUCUUGCAUGGGCAGCCUGACCACAUUAUGUAAGAAUGUCGAUGUGGAAGGUGAAGCAUACAAUACCUCUGCAAAUUUUCCCAAAGCUAAAGAUGUUGGAGCUAUCUCAUUUGCCGAAGUUGGAAAAUUGGGCAGAAAACGGUGCAGGAGAGCCUUAUAGCUCAGUGAUGUUUCCCCAGCUUGAGGAGCUAAGAAUCGAUAAUUGCAGUAAACUUGCAAUUAUCAUAUUCAUUCGUCAAAAUUGCAACUUGGACUUGGGGAUUGCUUUGCGUUCUUGGAGGAAUUAGAUAUCUCAGGUUGCGACAGUAUCCUCCGCUGGCCGGUGGAGGAGCUGCGUUGCUUGCCUCUGCUUCGAUCUCUGAGUAUUUGACUGUGGUGGACAAGCUGAAGAUAUACCGCUCACUUGGAGCAGCUGACUUGGAUGUGGGAGACCGGAAUACCGAAUGGCAAUAAAACAUGAGGAAGGGCAGUGCUCCGAUCUCCGGGCUGAAGAUGAAAUGCUAGAAAGAAGAUGAACCUGAAGAACGACACAAGGAGGACUCAAGGAAAACAGAGUGCAUCUUUUCGUGGCUAGAUACGGUAACGCUCAACGGGUUAGGCGGCCUACUCCGCGGUCCGCGCACUGCGAGCGCCGCUUUAGUCUCGGCGAUGGCCACGUCGCGUGCGCCACCGCCAGCCUGCAUCGCUAUGGAUGCGGCGGAAUCGGCCGGCUGGCCUCAGCCGCGGCGCGCGCCUGCUGCCUCUAAUCAGGUCAGGUCACGCUCUCUGUCUUCUCCUACUGUUGCAAGCCAGAUGCCAACCUUCCCCUGUCAUGAACCGUAGCUGUGCCUCUGCAGUCCGCGCGCAGGGUGCUUGUAGAAAUGCCUGGCAGGAUGGCCUACAUCGAGAGGCUUUAGUUUCAGAGCUAACUGUUCUGCUCUUCAUUUUGACAACAAGAAAUACUAUUUGUUUGAUCUUGCUUGCAGAAACAAAUAUUGAUUCAGGGGGUGUUUGAUCUUUAGUCCCGACUAAAAUUCAUGUCACAUCGAAUAUUCGGAGGCUAAUUAGAAGGACUAAACAUGAGCUAAUUAUAAAAUUAAUUACACAGAUGGAGGCUAAUUCACGAUACGAAUCUAUUAAGCCUAAUUAAUCCAUCAUUAGCACAUGUUUAAUAUAGCAUCACAUUAUCAAAUCAUGGAUUAAUUAGGUUUAAUAGAUUCAUCUUGCAAAUUAGUUCCCAUCUGCGCAAUUGGUUUUAUAAUUAGCCUAUGUUUAAUACUCAUAAACAUACUCCUAAUUAGUAUCUAAACAUUCGAUGUGACAGGAAUUUUAGGAGGUGCUAAAGAAACAAACACCCCCUCGUUCGAGCUCUAUACACCGCCGCUAUCACACUCCAUUGCUGGCACGCGAAAAGGUCAGUCAACUUUGCCCAUGGCAUCCUCAAACGUCUUCAGUGUCACCUUGUUAGCAACCACUCUCCCUCCUCCUCUUCGUAUUAGCAAUCGACCCGCUUCAAAAACUUCUCCAUCUAGAAACGGAAAACAGGGCCCUAUCAAAGCUAUGCGGCAAAUGUGCACGUCUCCGACUAUCAUUAUACGCAGAUGAUGCGGUAAUCUUCAUUAAUCCGACAUCAGCCGAUGUUCGGAACACCAAGGACCUGCUUAACAAAUUCGGCAAAGUGACUAGACUCAAUACCAACAUUCAGAAAAGCUCGGUAGCACCUAUUCGCUGCGGCAGGCUCGACCUUGAUUCGAUUCUCUCCUCCUUCCCGACAGCAAGAGCAACCUUCCCGAUCACAUACUUGGGACUACCUUUAUCACUUGGCAGGCUUCAAAAAGUUCACUUCCGGAUGCUAGCCGACAAAGCAAACACAAGGCUGGCCAAUUGGGCCGGCAAACUACUCACACCGGCAGGUAGAAGAACCCUUGUCAGAGCAGUCUUAUCCUCACAGUCGAUUUACUACCUGUCUGCUCUCAACGCCCCAGCAGCGGUUCUCGAAGAAAUUGAUAAACGCCUAAAAUGUUUCCUCUGGUCUGGCACUGAUCAGAUUGUUGGCGCCAAAUGUAAAGUGGUAUGGACCACAGCGUGCAAACCGACUAAACUGGGUGGCCUUGAAAUCAUGCACCUUAAAAAGUUCGCGCGAGCAUUGAGACUACGAUGGCUAUGGCACGAAUGGAAGGAACCACGCAAGUCGUGGGUGGGUAUGCCAACGCCAUGCAACGACAAGGACAAAAAGCUAUUUGCGUCCGCAACGACCAUCACACUGGGAGAUGGGAAGAAGGCAAAAUUCUAGGAAUCAGCAUGGCUACAGGGAGAAGCGCCGCGAGAUAUUGCGCCAUCGGUGUACAAAAUAUCAAAAAACAAGGGAAGAACGGUGAAGGACGCCAUAACAAACAACAGAUGGAUGACAGAUGGAUUUCGGACAUCAACGUGGACAUCAUACCCUCAACAGCACAGCUCUCAGAGUUCACUCUCCUCUGGACCAGGACAAGAUUGGUUCAGCUCAACCCAAGAACACCUGACUCCAUCACCUGGAAUCUGACCAAACACGGAGAAUACACGACAGCCUCGGCGUACCUGGCGCGGUUUCAAUCUUCAACACCCUCCGACAUGGAACGCCUUAUUUGGAAGACCUGGGCCCCACCCAAGUGCAAGUUCUUCUCAUGGCUCGCGUAUCAAAAUAGGAUAUGGACGGCGGAUCGCUUAAUCACACGAGGAUGGCCUAACCAAAAAGUUUGUAUGCUCUGUCACUCCCACGAUGAAACGCUAUUGCACUUGCUAAUGAAGUGCCGCUACACCUUACGAGUAUGGGACAAAAUUUUCGAAUAGACGGUUGCACAUGUCCCACCAAGAGGAGAUUGGGAAAAAAUUUUAUCGGUAAGCAAAUGGUGGACACAAGUAGGCUCAAUGCGUUACGCGGGUGUUUCAACGCCAAUUCAAAAGCAUCAAUCAACUACUCGCCAAGAUCAAGGAGGAGGCGCGAUGUUGGAUCCUAGCGGGAGCCAAGCAUUUAGGCUCUAUCUGCCAAGUCGACGAUUGAUAAUCGCUUCACAAGGCCCUUUUGUAUAUGCUGUAUAUUUUAUACCUUUCCUUUUUGGCUUAGAACACUCUUCUCUAUUAAUUAAUACAAACCCGGUAACCUGCCGGCCCUUCAAUUUCAAAAAAAAAAUUGCCAUUGUUAUACAACUUGUAUUGUUGUAUUGGAAUCGGGAAAGUAGAGAAGUGCACCAACACUCAAUAGGGUACGGAGAACCUCUACAAGGUACAGAGAAUCUCUCGGUGCCUGGGGCGUAGGUCAUAGGGAUUAGGGGCAGUAUACAUGGCCAAACGGGCGGCCCAACCCGGCCUGGCCUGGCCUGUAUCGGCCCGGCUAUAGUGUCGUCCCGAGCCGGGCCGCCUGCCGGGCCGUCUUACAGGUCUAGGCUCAGCCUCUUUAUAUCUUAUCCGGGCUGGGCCAGCACAAUAGCCCGACAAGCCAAGUAGGCCGGGCCACCCAUCAACACGCCGAGAUCUAGAUUGAGAAGGGGAAGGAGGCAGAUAGGCGAAGGCGGUGGCGCGGCGCCGGUGACCGGUGGCGGAGUGGGUGGACUGGCGAGAUCUAGAUCAAGAAGGGGAAGGAGGCAGAUAGGCGGAGGCGCGGCGUCGAUGACCGGUGGCGAACUGGCAAGAUCUAGAUCGAGAACGGGAAGGAGGCGGACAGGCGGAGGGCCGGAGGUGGGGCGACGCCAAUGACCAGUGGCGGACUGGCAGUGACUGGUGGUGAGGGAGGGAGCUAGGGAGGGGAAGGAUCGAAGGAGGCAGACGGGCGAAGCGGAGGCGAGUGGCGAUUGCGGUGGAGAGGAAGGGAGGUAGGAAGUCAGGGAGGGGAUUAGGGUUGGUGCGCGACUGCGCGGUGGGUGGGGCCGUGGGGGCUUAUACGCACGCGGCGGAGUUACACGGUCCUUAGUCGUGCCGGUCCUUACACAGGCCGCCCGACUUGCUACCUCUUCAGCCCAGGUCCGGCCUGCUACCUCGGGCCGUGCUGGCGUGGGCUCGUGUAACGGCGGGCCAGACCGUGCUAGUGCCAGGCCUCGGGCUGCCCGUUUAGCCUGGCCCAUUUGGCCAGGUAUAAGGGGCAGCAGGCAGCUGCCAGGUCUGAGUCAGAGAUCUUCUCGGCUUCUCCCUCUCUCUGAGCCUCACAGCUGCUGCCUGAGGGGCCUGCAGACACGGUGGCCAACAGGUCAGUUCCUGCUUCUCUCACGGUCACAGCUUGUGCAGCUGGAAAGGGUGAUGGGAGACCCAGACCCUGUAUUGACGUGCUCGUUCGGUGGAGUGCAGCUCUAGUGGGCAGUAGCAGUACCCACCAAUAAUUCCGCUUCUUCAGUCUUCACUGGUUGCUUUCCUCAUUCCCAUCUAUUCCAGCUCAAGCUUCCUUACCUCCACCACCUCCCUCUCGCUUCUUUAGCCGUCGUCAGCAACUCAGCAUAGUUUAUAAUUAGAAAAAUAAAAUGUCGUGUCACUUUGCAGUUUUGUAGUGGCAGUUUUGAAAUUGUAGACAAAAGAAAGAACUGUGGCAUGUGUGCUACUCUGAGACCGCACUGAGAGGCCAAUGAUGCAAGUCAGUCAACUUUACCCGUCACAUGCGUGGCUGUUGAUGGUCUGGGCCAGCUUGGAUUGAUCGUUGACAUUAUUACACCUACCAACAAGUCUCUUCCUUCUUUCCAUCGCCUGUUGCCUCUUCUCAGAUCUCCUAAUCAGAUCUCCUAAUCAGAUCUCCCUGUGGUUGAGCAAGGAAACAUGGCAGAGUCGCUGCUGCUCCCCGUGGUGCGCGGCGUCGUCGGCAAGGCGGCUGACGCUCUCGUGCAGAGCAUCACUCGCAUGUGGGGCGUCGACAAGGACCGCCUCAAGCUCGAGCGCCACCUGCUGUACGUGCAGUCCUUGCUGGCCGACGCCGAGGCGAAGAGCGAGACCAACCACGCCGUCCGGACGUGGAUGAAGGAGCUCAAGGCCGCCGCAUACCAGGCCGACGACGUCCUCGACGACUUCCAGUACGAGGCGCUGCGCCGUGAGGCCCUGAGCGGCCAGUCCAUGGCAAGCAAGGUACUGAGCAACUUCACCUCAAAGAAUCGUCUUGUAUUCCGUCAUAAAGCGAGCAGAGAUCUGAAGAACGUGCUCGAAAAGAUUGACGAGCUCGUGACCGAGAUGACAAAGUUUGGCCUGGUGGCGCUUGCGGAGGCGCCGCUGCAAGCUCUUCCUCGGCAGACGCACUCAGCACUGGAUGAAUCCAGAGAGAUAUUUGGCAGAGAAGAUGACAAAGAUGGGGUGGUGAAACUGUUGCUGGACCAGCAAGAUCGGCAGGAUGUACAAGUGCUACCCAUCCUUGGAAUGGGGGGUGUGGGCAAGACCACGCUAGCCAAGAUGGUGUACAACAACGACAAAAUUCAGAAGCACUUUGAAUUGAGGAUGUGGCACUGCGUGUCAGAAAAUUUUGAAGCUAUUCCUCUUGUUAGAUCUGUAAUUGAGUUGGCUACAAAUAGCACAUGUGAUCUGCCUGACACGAUCGAGCUGCUGCGAGGAAAACUGCAGGAAGCUAUUGGCCGCAAAAGGUUCCUACUCAUUCUCGACGAUGUGUGGAACGAAGACCAAAACAAGUGGGAGGAUGACUUGAGGCCGCUACUUUGUUCUUCAAUUGGUGGAUCAGGAAGCAAGAUAGUUGUUACAAGUAGAAGCCGACAAGUGGCGUCAAUAAUGGGCACCCUUCCACCUCAUGAAUUAGUGUGUUUGAGCGAAGAUGAUUCAUGGGAAUUGUUCUCAAAGAAAGCAUUUAGUAAAGGAGUGCAAGAGCAAGCAGAGUUUGUCAAAAUUGGCAGAUGUAUCAGCAAGAAGUGCAAGGGACUGCCUCUUGCACUGAAGACAAUGGGUGGAUUGAUGAGUUCAAAACAACAAAUCGAGGAAUGGAAGGCCAUUGCAGAUUGCAAUAUUAGUGAUACCAAUAGAGGUAAAGAUGAGGUACUGCCCAUACUAAAACUGAGCUACAAGCACUUGUCCCCUGAGAUGAAGCAAUGCUUUGCCUUCUGUUCACUUUUCCCCAAGGACUAUGAGAUGGAGAAGGACAUGUUGAUUCAACUAUGGAUGGCAAACGGUUAUGUUCACGAAGAGGGGACGAUGGACUUGACACAAAAAGGGGAAUAUGUCUUCAACGAGUUGGCUUGGAGGUCCUUUUUCCAACAUGUGAUAUUAGUGAGGGUGCCCUAUUCUAAUUUUAUACAUGACUCAAAACAUGAGAUAAAUGGAUGUAAAAUGCACGACUUGAUGCAUGACCUUGCAAAAGAUGUUGCACAUGAAUGUGCAAAUGCGAAAGAGUUAAUUCAGCAAAACCUGCCUGUAAAUGACAUCCGUCACUUGCAUAUUUCGAGACAUGAUCAAUUGAAUAAAAUCAGCCAGUUACACGGAGGCACUAUGUAUCUUCGCACUUUGUUGAUACCACCAUCAUUGUACAAGGAUCUGUCCAAGGAUAUGGUGAAGUCAAAACUGAUGUCAUCAAGAGCAUUGAGUAUUCGUUGCAGAGAUACUUCAAUCGUCCAUAUGGAGCUCACACGCACAACACAUUUACGGUAUCUUGAUCUCUCUGGCUCGAUGAUUGUCAGCUUGCCAAACUCAAUCUGUAUGUUGUAUAAUUUACUGUCUUUGAGGCUUAAUGGCUGCUCCCGACUACAAUAUUUACCUGAGGGUAUGAGAACUAUGAGGAAGCUCUGCCAUAUUUGUCUCUUCGGGUGUCGUAGCUUGGAACGAAUGCCCCCAAAACUUAGUGUACUACACAACCUUCGCACACUAACAACAUUUGUUGUGGGCACAAAAGAUGGAUGUGGAAUCGAGGAGCUCGAAGACCUACGACAUAUUGGCAACAGGUUGGAACUGUAUAAUUUGCGGGAAGUAAAGUGUGGGUCGAAGGCCAAUCUCCAUGCGAAAUAUAAUCUAAAUGAACUGUUGUUGUGUUGGGAUCAUUUUCGUGAUGAAUAUGAUGAGUCUACAAUUGGUGAGGCCACUAAUCAUGAACAAGUAUUGGAAUCUCUUGUACCUCAUGAUAAGCUAAAAAUUUUGGAGGUGCGUAGUUAUGGUGGCCACACAAUCUCAGAAUGGAUGAGAAACCCUCAAAUGUUCCGGUGCUUGAGAGAACUCAUUAUGAUGGAAUGCCGAGGAUGUAAGGACCUGCCAAUAGUAUGGUUGUCAUCCUCUCUUGAGCAUUUGUGUUUACGGCACAUGGAUAGCUUGACCACGUUGUGUAAGAACAUCGACGUGGAAGCUGAAGCAGACAAUACCUCUCUGCAAAUAUUCCCCAAGCUAAAGAGGAUGGAAUUAAUUGCUUUGCCUGAGUUGGACAGAUGGGCAGAAAAUAGUGCUGGAGAGAUUCUUAGCUCGGUGACGUUUCCCCGGCUUGAAAAACUAGUUAUUAAGAAUUGUGAUAAGCUUGCAAGUCUCCCAAGGUUACCGGUUCUCACAUAUCUCAAUCUAUCUGGCCGCGAAGGGAAUAAUUCUACAGGAGCUCUUAUUUCGAUGCCUUUGGGCUCUUUGCCAUCUCUUAUCCACUUAAGAAUAUCAUUUUUGCUGGUAGACGUGAUGAUGCCUCCAGACGGCGAGGAAAGCCAGAGUCAAAGACCUUUGGACACACUACGAUAUUUGACACUUGAGGGUGACGACGCCUUCAUAACGAUAUUUAAUAAAUCCAAAUUGCAACUUGGGCUUGGAGCUCUGCACAUUAGUCGUUGCUCCAAACUUGACGGAAUCCUUCCUCUGCUCCCCAAGUUUCCCGCAUCCCUCGAGGAAAUCUGGAUUGACAACAACAGAAGUUUGGUGGCGCUGCCUUCAAACCUCGGAGAUCUGACCAAGCUGAGGAGACUCUCUGUGUGGAGUUGCAAUGCACUGAAAGCGUUGCCAGAUGGGAUGGAUGGUCUCACUUCCCUUGAGGAGUUGGUUAUUGAUGGUUGUCCAGGGAUAGAGAAAUUUCCGCAGGGUCUCCU